GUACAUCAAAUAAUAAUUUUUCCAAUGAAUUUUUGUGAUUGAAAGUGAAGAAAAUUCGUAUUUUUUGUGAAAGUUGAAAUCUUGUGCUAGUUAUACGCGAUUUUUACAUCUUAAAACGGAAGUACUUAACGAAGAUCUCAUCAAAAGGUUUUCAUAUAGACGUAAUAGAAUUCUAUCUCGAUUAUUUGUGACUUUCCCAUCAAAUUUGCAUUAGAAUAUUUAAACAGAAACCUUUGGAUGUCUUUCAUCUCAACGUGACCUUAAUUCUACACCUAGACUUAGAAUUAUUCUAAAUCAAUAAUUCGAAUAACUCAAAAAUGGGGGACAUCAAGAAGGACAUUGAGUAUUUUGAUAAAAAUAAAUUAAGCCAAGUGGAUCUUGAAUCAUUUUGUAAUUCACUGCCAAGUGAUCUAGAACGAAAAUUCAGAGGGUUAAUAAGUGAUGUGUCAGCAUUGGAUGAAAAUUACAUGAAAGACUACGAAAAACGUUGUCCAGAUAUGGGAAUACAAAUAAUUACAAUUCAAUGGCAACACUAUCGUAAAAUGAAAUUUUCUGAUAAUUUCAUUUCAAGAUAUCAAAUAAGAGAUUUGGGUUUAUUUCAAAUAAAAUAUCAAGAAUUCCUCAUAGUAAAUGGGAAAAAGAAAAUUCCUGAUAAGAAAACAUAUUGGUAUCAUUUGAAUUUUGACACAGACACUGGGCAACUAAUUAUUGAUAAAACCCGCGUUGAGUAUAUUUGGCAUUUAAGCCAAAGCUGAACGUUUAUUUGCCGAAAGAAAAUACAAUGAAGCUUUGACUUAUUUUAAAUAUGAAUUAAAUUGGGCUAAAAGGGACUAUAUUGUGUACGUUCCAACUGAGGAAAAAAUUCAGAAAGCUCAAGCUGAAUUGGAUGCAAAAGCAUUCAAUGCAAAUGGGGAUGGAUUCUUCAAUCAGGGCAACUUUGUGGAAGCUUUCAGUUUCUAUCAGAGAGCUUUCAAUACUUCUAACGUUGAAGUUGAGCGCAGAAUAUACAAGGAGAACAUGCAAAAGGCUCAGGACAGAAUUAAUUUAUAAUUAUUUAAUUAAAUAAGCUUGUAAGACAAAUUAAUAUUAAAGCUCUAAAAUCAAAAUUAAGCUUACUAACAAAACUUCAAAGAUUGCUUUUCGAAAUAAAAUUUUUAUGAAAAUUAAUGCCAAAAGGAAUUUUUAAUUACCCCCCAAAAACAAUUCCUUUCUAUAAAAAUCAAAAAUUCUUCUUCCAUCUUUGUGAGGAGGAUGAUGAUGGAAAAAAAUUCAAGAAUCCAUUUUUUAUUCAAAAAGAGGGAGAGAGAGAAGUUUUAUAUAGUGUCUGAUAUGCCGAAAGGAGCAACAUCAAAAGCCAUCGAGAGGUUGUGGUUUGAAGUAAUAAAUGGCUGUUUUAGUUUUAAAUUAAAUUAAUUAGUUGAAGAUUUUCUUCUUUAGUGUUUUGUACGGUGCGACGGGGGAAGAGGUGCGGGAGCGCUAUCGUAAGAAACUACUGUCCAUUAAAAUAACAUAUUCAAGUUGGGAAUUAUGCAUAUAGUAGGAUGGCCGCUUUGAAAUCAUGUUCUCGACAAUGUUUAUCCGUUUUUUUGUCAUUUUCUCGGUAUAUUUUUCUCUAAACUUCUUUUUUUUUUUCAACAUACCUACAUAUACACGUUAAUUCGACUAAAGGUAACACGAUUUUAUGUAUAUGAGGCGACAAGGUGAAGCUGUGACAUGAAAGAGAUGCCAAUGGAGACGCAAAUGAACCCACUCACGCAGUUUAAUCUCCCCUUGCGCCCUUGCUUUUGAU